ACAGAGGCGGCAAGCGUUGUUCGGAAUUAUUGGGCGUAAAGAGCAUGUAGGCGGCUAUGUAGGUCGGUUGUGAAAGCCUUCCGCUUAACGGAAGAAUGGCGGUCGAAACUGCAUGGCUUGAGUGCGGGAGGGGAGAGUGGAACUUCUGAUAAAACAAUAAAAUGCGUAGAUAUCAGAAAGAACGUCGGCGGCGAAGCGACUCUCUAGACCGUAACUGACGCUGAGUGUGCGAAAGCUAGGGGAGCAAACGG
rnacentral:rRNA from 1 species